rnacentral:tRNA from 1 species
UGCCGGAUAGCUCAGUUGGUAGAGCAUUAGAUUAUUACUCUCAGGCUCAUGGGUUCAAGCCCCACGUUGGGCAA